rnacentral:lncRNA from 10 species
AUGGAGUGGAAAAAGGAGAAGUGGUUUCACUUUCUUUUUGAAAAAAAAUAAGGGAAAGGACAAGGGAGAACACACUACAAUUCAUAACUUGGUGGUUUUUAUCCUGCUUUCAGGUCACUGGAGUUUGCCCCAUGAAAAAGGAAUUGUGGAUCUGAAGCCUAAAUAACUUCAGCAAUCCACAUUCUGUAUCCUCUAGAUCAUGGACAGCCUAUUGAUCCUUCUAACUCUGCAGCAAAGCCUCCAAGUUAAAAAGGAAAAUAAGUCUCUCAACACCAUUAUUUAUUCAGCUGCACACAGUCUUGAACUGCUGAAAUAUAAAAAUGAAACCAAAGCAGUUUCCAUCUAAUCACUUUUUUAAAAAAUGCCAUGCAGAAUAUGUUUAUCACAAUCACCAUCAUCAUCAUCAUCACCACUGCUGUUGCCACUGCAUCACCAUCCAACAUGAACACCACCAACUUAAUCAUGUCCCUGAUUCAACAGUUUUCAACUUGUUUAUACAUAAAAUAAUGACAGAGUGUGAUUGUUUGCCAAAAAAAGUUUUUCUAUGAGCAUCUUAAUAACCAAGUUAUAAUAACCCAGUUAUUUCCAUCAACAAAAAAAAUCUGAAUAGCAUUUGGUUUGUCUGUGUAUCAGCAGAAAUGCUUAUGUGAAUUUAGCAUUUAUUAUAACUGAUGAAGUCCUUUUAACUGGAGUGUAUUGUAAUAAUAUGUCUGCAAAACAUAAUAUGUCUGUGAAAGAUAAUGAAAUAUUUUAGCAUUUGCAAUAAAAAGGUACUGAAGUCUCAGUUCCUUUUCAACUCUAACAAUUAUAUCAACAUCUAUGUCUUACUCUUUUUAAAAAGUGUGAUGUGUGACUUGAUAGAAUACAUGUUAGGAAGUACAGGGCUAAUUAACUUGGUUGAGGUGGUUACAGAAGGCUUCCAUAAGGAAUUAUAUUGUGAUUGAGAUAGGAAGGAAGAGUAGAAAAUGCUUAGGUCAGGAAGGGAGUGGAGGUGGAUGAUGAGAGAUGGAAGUACAUAAGAGAUGAACAGCAUAUGCAAAGGCUGUGGAUAUUACAAAUUCUCACCAAUAUGAAGGAUGGAAGAAAGGUCAGUGUAGAAGGUGAAUAGUAGGUGGGGUGGAGCCACCAUAUAGGCAAUUUAUUUGAACACUAAUGAGUAAUUUAUUCUGUAUUGGUAUGCUUCUCAUAUGCUCACAUUAAAGCUGCUAUAUUAAUACAAUAUUUCUGAGUAAUUUAUGCUUACUAUGUACAUAAUAGACAAUAUUUGCUAAGUACAUGAUAGAGAAUGAGAAGAGUGUAAUGUAUUCACAAAGAUCUAGACUUAUUGUCUGAGCCUUGAAAAUAAUGUCUAUUCAAAAACAUAUGCCUUGAAAAAUAUUUGUGUGUAUAUGUAUGUAAAUGUAUAGAAGACUAUAUAAUAUCUUCCUUCUGAUGUGUUCCAAAGGAUUU